GCUGACGUAGCUCAACUGGUAGAGCAGCGCACUUGUAAUGCGCAGGUUGGCGGUUCGAGUCCGCUCGUCAGCU
rnacentral:tRNA from 1 species